UUCUGUUAUCCCUCAGGAUCACGUAAGGCUCGCCGUACGCCGACGCGCUUUAGAGAUCCCAACCGUUGGAUCGUGGGUUCAGCGGUCAAGAUUAAAAAGCAAUGAUAAGGAGACCAGAUAUCUUGUGACGCCCGACGCGCUUGCGGUGGGAUUCUGUACGUUUGUACAUUCUUAUAUAUGCGGGAUGUGGAUCUGCGUGCUCAUUGUCCGUCUAAAUAGAUCGUGACCGCCGAUUCAACGCGUGGCCAGUCCGCUUGCAGCGACGCUGCAUC
rnacentral:lncRNA from 1 species